AUAUAUCAACCUCUUCAGCUUUUGCUUGUUGAGUGUUGGAUGUGGGGGUCUUUUGCUGGCCUUUUUAACAAAGAGGUCAGCUCCCCUAAAAUUCAUUAGCGGAACAAUUUGUUGACCGUUCAUUGGUGUGAUAAUUAUCUACGCUAUUGACGUGAGGCAGUUCAGCUUCUAACAGUCCAUUGACUUGGACAGUUUUCAUUA
rnacentral:misc_RNA from 1 species